AUGGAACAUGACCUCCAUAUGACCAAAGGAGAAGAGGAGACCAGCUACUUCAAAAACUCAAGGCUUCAGGAAAAAGCUUUGGUUGAGACUAAGCCCGUUGUCCAGAAGAUUGUCAUGGAAAUGUGCGUGGAUCUCCUCCAUCCAGCAAUGACAAUUGUUGACUUAGGCUGUUCUUCAAGUGACAACACACUCUUCUUUGUCUCCAAUGUGAUCAAAGCGGUCAGCAGCUACCACCUUGAGAAAUUCAGUGGCCAUCCCACCGAGCUUCAGUUCUUUCUCAACGAUUUACCAGGCAAUGACUUCAACCGUGUCUUCCAAUCACUUCAACGAUUCAGGAACUCGAUUGAUAUGGAUCACAAGGGAGAGCCAAUACCUGCUUUUUACAUCGCUGGGUUGCCCAGCUCCUACUAUACAAGACUUUUGCCUCGCCGGAGUGUUCAUCUCUUUCACUCAUCAUACUGCCUGCAUUGGCGAUCUCGGCUUCCUGAUGGAUUAGAGGGCAAGAAAAGACCAUAUCCCAAUGAAGGAAACAUCGGCAUUGGAGCGACUACCCCACCCUGUGUGGUGAAAAUGUAUCAAGAGCAGUUUCAGAAGGACAUGUUGUUGUUCCUCCAACUGCGCCAUGUAGAACUAGUUGCCAAUGGACAAAUGGUUCUCACAUUUCUUGGGAGGAAACACGAUGAUGUCUAUAGCGCAAGUCUCAACCGUUUAUAUGGGUUACUUUCCCAGUCUGUACAAUCUCUUGUUGAGGAGGGCCUCGUGGAGAAAGAAAAGCUGGACUCCUUUAAUUUACCUGUGUAUGGACCAUCGAUGGAUGAAGUGAAGGCAGUGGUCGACCAGAGCCAGCUGUUUGAAUUGACUCACAUCAAACUGUUCGAGACCAAUUGGGAUCCUUAUGACGACUCGGAGGGCAAUGAUGUCGACGACAGUGUCCAGAGUGGGAUUAACGUCGCAAUCUGCUUGAGAGCAGUGAUGGAGCCCCUAUUUACAAGCCAUUUUGGAGAAUCCGUGCUUGAUGAGCUCUUCAAGAAGUUUGCAUAUAACGUCGCAUUGCACCUUGUCAAGGAGAAGACCAAGUACUCUGUCAUUAUUCUAUCACUGAAAAGAAGAUGA
rnacentral:rRNA from 1 species